UGCCUACCCAGAUACUCAUCUUGCAUCUUGCUUGUCAGGAGCAAAAUGACAAGCACCCAGGUCCUUGUGGGUGUUCUGAGGGGAGCAGAAUCCAGUGUGCUUGGGGGACCAGUGGUCCCCAGCACAUCCCCUCUUGCCUCUUUGCCCCCCUCUCCCAUUUUCGGGGAGGGGGCUCAUCCCCAGGAGCACAGCCCUCUCUUUCCCGUGUGUUCUCCGGGGCAGGUGCUGGGAUGGGGGUGUCUGUGGCCCCCGGUGGGUCUCCGGAGAGCCAUCCCAUCCCGUCUCACCCCCCCCCCGGCUGGCUGGCGUCCCGUGCUCGGUGCCGGGUGAUGUCAGCGGCCUGCCGGCAGGUCUGGAUGUUCUGCCAGCGUUCCCGCGUUUAUGAUCAUCCGCAGAUGUGCAUCCAAGAACACACUGUACCCACGGCAGAAAUUAAUGCAGGCUUGACUGCUGGCCAAGCCGCGCACACGGGGGAGAGGAGGAAAGACAACAAAAACUGUUUAAUGCUGUUUAUAAAUUAUACACUGGCUGAUGAAAAAUACAUUUCUCUCUCCCUCCCUCUCCCCUCCUCCCCUCCCCAUCCUCUCUGCCUCGAGAGCCUGAGCUGAGCCCAGAAGAACGUGGUUUGCUUUUAGCUCCCGUUUUGGCUGCGUUCCUGGCCCCGACCGCUGGGUCGGAGCCAGCUGCUUCCUUCCCUCCCCGCCCUCACCUGAUGAAAUCCAUUUAUUUUUCUCUUCCCCGCUCCCCUCCUUGGCCUGAUCCUCUCUAUGGAGGAAGAAGGGGAGGGUGUGUCUGACUCCCCUCGUACCCCCAUCUUUUCCAUGGAUGGGAUGCACCCAUCCACUCCCUGCCACCGGUUUUGCCCCCCGGGGGGGGGGGGGGCAUAAUUUCUGCGGGAUGAAGGAAACUUCCCAAAGUUCCCCCCAGGUGGUCGACAUCCCCUCCCCUGGGGGGCGGGGAAAUGGGGCCAGUCCCCCCAUCCUUCCAUAUCCCACCCCAUCCUUCCCGCGUACUCGCCAGGCAUUUACAUAGCUUUUGUGUUGGUUUUUGUGAGUUUGCUGGGGUUUUGUUGUUGUUGUUUUGUUGGGAAUUUUUUGUUUUAAUACCGCUAAUGUUUAUAAUUUGGACAACAGGCUUGACAGAUUUUGUUUCCUGUCGCUGCGCGGCUGCGGAGCCCCCUCCGGUUGCCAAGGAGCCGCCUCCCCGCACCGUCACGGCCUGAUUUGCCAGGAAGGCACUCGUGGAGGGCUCGGCUGCUUCGCUCUCCCGAGUUGGUGGUCUGCCCGACAGAGAUUGUAUAGAAACCGGGCCUGGUGCUGCUUUUUUUUUUUUUUUUUCCUCCCCUGAUUAAAAAUAGAUGCCUUGAGGUAUUAUUUUAGCAUCACUGUGGUUUGUUGCUUUUUUUUUUUCUUUGCACUUUUGAUGUGGUAAAUGGAACAUAAAUAAAAUUGUUUUUUGAAAUUACUGAAUUAAUUAGGUAGUAAAGAGACGACAAUGCAUAAAUUUUCUUGGCAAUUUUUUUUUUUAAUCCAUAUUAUUCCCCCCUCCUUGCCACCUUCUUUCCAAUUAUAGCCUGUUAGUAAUAUAUAAUCCCAAAUUUCUAUGAAUCCCUUGUGCUGGGGGAGGGAGGGGAAUAGAUGUGGUGUCAUACUGGUGGCGAUGUGGUGUGGAAACUGGAGUGGGGAAGGGCUGGGGUGUUGCUGCGACUGAUUUGUCGUCCUCCACUACCCUUCUUACCCUUAUCCCCUCCUCCUUGUCCUCUGAAGGAUGCUCAAGGCUCCUCUUUUGCCUUUUCCCUUCGUUUUUCUGGGGCUACAGAUGGUCUUUUUGGAGCCCUUCUCCCUGCAGCCUCUUGGCUCCCCCACCUUGGGGAGUUUCUCCCCAGCUGGGGUGUAGUUGGACAGAGCUUUGGGACAUGGUGGUAUUGCUUCGGAGUGGGAUAAAGGUGUUCAGGAGGGGAUAGAGUCCUCCUGCUAGUAGAGGCUGAGAGCUGGAGAUGGUGAGGGACUGCAGCCCCCAAUUAAGGGCUGUGCAGGGAGGCAGAGGUGCUCAGGAACUGGGCUAGGACGUUUUACUACUUCCUACUAUCCCAAGUGCUAAUACUGGAGAGCCUGUUCCCCAUCCCCAAUAAAGUAAUUAAAGUGAAUGGGUGAUGGAGGCUGCAGCAGGCCAGCUGGAUCCCGACACCCCAGCAAAGCCUGGCUGGGGGUGGGGAACAGCAGCCCCUGCACGCUGCCUGCACCCAGUGAGCUGUGCGGUUGCUCAGACGAUACUCAAGGGAGCAUCCCAUUUCGGAGAGCUGCUUUAAACCCUGGCAGUGCUGCUGGGUUUUGCCCCCUCAUGUUUCUUUUUGGGGGAAAUGAGAUAAUCUGAGUACAAAGGGCUUGGCUCAGGGUCUUGGCGGUCCCUGGGCAGUGCUGACCUUGUGGCAGGGGGAGGCAAUGACUCUGCAGAUAGCAUGGGGUGGAAAAAGCUUUGGCUCCUCAUCUGCUCACCACAGGGACCUUUAUUAGGCAGGAGCUAUAAAUUAGCUCUUGUGGAUAUAAACGUAUGAUGGGGAGGUGGGUGCCAAUGCUGGAGUGCAGCCGGUCCUUGGCAGCACGUGGAGUCCUGUCUGUCCCCUCAGGAUCAUCAUCCCCAGAAAUCUGUGUACUGUAGGUGACACAAGGUGCUCACUAAAAAUACCCUCCCCAGCCUGCUGUGUGUGUUGGGAGAUAGUGAGAGUUUUGAUGGGCAUCGUUUACAGCAUGGAAAGAGCAGCGGGAGCGAGCUCUGCCACGGGCUCUGGCCGUGCUGCGUCCUGCUCUCUUUCAUACAAACAUUGAGCCACGGUGGGUUUUUUUCUGAGCCCUGUUAUAAUAAGCUCAGAUGUUGGAUGACAUUUUUCCCGGUGACUCACAUAGUAAAAUUAACCUUGAACUAUUUACAUAUGCAAUCACCGCCCUCCUCCUCCCCCCUCUGCCGGCGUGUGUACAUUGCAGGAAUUCUGGCUCUGGAUCAGUUUUUGUUUUGCUGAUGA